rnacentral:rRNA from 1 species
AAAGCCAGAACCAGUCAUGCCGCGUGCAGGAUGAAGGCCCUACGGGUCGUAAACUGCUUUUAUUCGGGAAGAAAAAGUCUGUUUCCACAGACCUUGACGGUACCGAUUGAAUAAGGACCGGCCAACUCCGUGCCAGCAGCCGCGGUAAUACGGAGGGUCCAAGCGUUAUCCGGAUUCACUGGGUUUAAAGGGUGCGCAGGCGGCUAAGUAAGUCAGUGGUGAAAGCCUUCGGCUCAACCGGAGAAUUGCCAUUGAAACUACUUAGCUUGAGUGCAGUAGAGGUAGGCGGAAUGUAGCAUGUAGCGGUGAAAUGCAUAGAUAUGCUACAGAACACCGAUAGCGAAAGCAGCUUACCACACUGUAACUGACGCUGAGGCACGAAAGCAUGGGUAGCAA